GUCUAUGGCCAUGCCACCCUGAACACACCUGAUCUUGUUUGAUCUUGGAAGCUAAGCAGGGAUGGGCCUGGUUAGUUCUUGGAUGGGAGAUCACCUAGGAAGACUGGGUGCUGUAGGAA
rnacentral:rRNA from 1 species